GGAAGUCAUCCGGCCGGAUCAGGAGCCUGUCUCGAAAACAGGUGGUGGGUUUCCCACUUGUGGGUUCGAGUCCCACGGCUUCCG
rnacentral:tRNA from 1 species